GACGAACGCUGGCGGCGUGCUUAACACAUGCAAGUCGAACGGUAAGGCCCUUCGGGGUACACGAGUGGCGAACGGGUGAGUAACACGUGGGUGAUCUGCCCUGCACUUCGGGAUAAGCCUGGGAAACUGGGUCUAAUACCGGAUAGGACCACUGCCUGCAUGGGUGGUGGUGGAAAGCUUUUGCGGUGUGGGAUGGGCCCGCGGCCUAUCAGCUUGUUGGUGGGGUGAUGGCCUACCAAGGCGACGACGGGUAGCCGGCCUGAGAGGGUGACCAGCCACACUGGGGCUGAGAUACGGCGCAGACUCCGACGGGAGGCGGAGGUGGGGAAUAUUGCACAAUGGGCGCGAGCCUGAUGCAGCGACGCGGCGUGAGGGAGGACGGGCUUUGGGUUGUAAACCUCUUUCAGCACCGACGAAGCGCAAGUGACGGUAGGUGCAGAAGAAGGACCGGCCAACUACGUGCCAGCCGCCGCCGUAA
rnacentral:rRNA from 1 species